rnacentral:rRNA from 1 species
UACGGAGGGUGCAAGCGUUAAUCGGAUUUUACUGGGGCGUAAAAGCGUGCGUAGGUGGUUUUGUUAAGUCAGUUGUGAAAAUCCCCAGGGCUCAACCUUGGAAUUGCAUCUGAUACUGGCAGACUAGAGAUCGGUAGAGGUUAGUGGAAUUCCAGGUGUAGCGGUGAAAAUGCGUAGAUAUCUGGAGGAACAUCGAUGGCGAAGGCAACUGACUGGGGCCUGAUCUGACACUGAGGUACGAAAAAGCGUGGGGGAGCAAAACAGGAUUAGAUACCCCGCGUAGUCC